rnacentral:misc_RNA from 1 species
AACUGAUACUACCUGCGGGAACCUGCGGAAGGAUCAUUACCGAGUUAUACAACUCCCAAACCCACUGUGAACCUUACCUCAGUUGCCUCGGCGGGAACGCCCCGGCCGCCUGCCCCCGCGCCGGCGCCGGACCCAGGCGCCCGCCGCAGGGACCCCAAACUCUCUUGCAUUACGCCCAGCGGGCGGAAUUUCUUCUCUGAGUUGCACAAGCAAAAACAAAUGAAUCAAAACUUUCAACAA